AUUGAUGUAACAAUAAGGUAUGUGACAUGUAAAGAACUAAAGCAAGCUUAAUUUUGUCUACACGGUCGUCAUAUAUAAAGUCUUACUUCUACAACAAAGUCAUGUUGAUAUAUCAUGUUGAAUUUUUGUACAAAUGGAAUCAAGAGGAACAAGAAAUCUGUCUUACAUUCAGCAAAUAAUCAUUGUGGUACAAACGGAACUUGCUCAAUUUUUCAUCAAAGAAUGGAACUCUCGUUACAAAUCAACACAUGGAGAAUGGGAUGAUACCAAAAAUAGUGGCAAAAAAUUUUGCACUUUAGAAUCGGGUAGAAAGUUUGAUAAAAAACUAAAGUUAAAAUAUCAGGAUGGA